CCUGGCUGUACCCAGCAGCCAAACCAAAAGGCCAACAAACUCCUAGUCCAAUACAAACACACAAAAAAUACACACACAUUUUUAUUAAAUCCUGAAAUUGUAUUGAUUUUUACAGAGCCACUAGGAGACACGGUGGUUAUUUUGUAACAAGGUGUAGCCACAAAUAACUAUAUUGAUGCAACGAGUAUUUCGUCACCAUGAAAUGGUUAUCUAAGUAUAAAUACUGCAACUGGUCACAACUUGUAUUUAAACAGAAAUCAACUGAAUUGGACCAUUCUGGACACCAAACAUGGAGCUGAGUGAUAAUAUUACACUGGAAUGAUGCAUAAAUGAGAUACGCAAGCUUGCCACUGGAGUUGCAACAUGAAUACCAUUAGCCUGUGUCACCAUAAGCAAAUAGACUUUUUCACCCAUCCCUGGCAAAUAAUUAACUGGAGGCCAUAUACAGUAUUAAGUAUGACAUUAGACAACAUGUUAAUCUGUGGGCUUCAUGGUCACAACCUAAUAAUUUGAGAUACUUGGGUUAUGGCCUCAACAUAUUAACUCAGAUGUCUGUUUCAUCACAAACCCUUGCUGAAACCUGGCAAUACUGUGAUGUUUCAGAAAUUUGCAACAUAGUUAUCAUAUCACGACUUUUAAAAAAAACAAAAAAAACUUUCCAGACAUUUGACAGUCCCAUCCAAAGACAAAUGGGACAUUAUGGAGAACCUAUACCACAGCGCUCUGAAAUUGUCGAAUCUGACUGGAUGGAAGAAGGGCAGAUCAAUCAGCACUGAGUGAAGUCUGACACAGAGAAGAGAGAUGGAUCAUUACAGAGAUAAAACAUGGCAUGAGUCCAUCUCUCCAUUUCUCCAGCUUAUAUCACAUACUUUAACAGAUUUCCACUCUAAAUAAUGUAGCAAACUAGUGGUCCAGAAUCUCUCGCAUGUCUUUUUACAUACGCAUUUUUUUCCAAACCUUAUUUAUCAGUGCUGUUAACUACUUUUCGGUGUCUGUCAGCUCUGCUGUAACACACAGUGCAAUACGGGAACCGCUGACAGAUUUAUUUUUAACACGGUUCCCAGUCCUCUCAUUGUGACUUCCUCUUAACAUCUCUCUCACUCGCUCUGUCAUCAUACACUCUCUCAGACACACACACACACUGUAUCAAAAACGCUAUGUGAGCAAGAACAAGAGAAGGAGAAACAAUGCAGAUACAAAUAAAAGAAAAACUUUAAUGCUAUCAUCAUUAACCUGUUGGGAAGGAGACAGUAAUACCAAACAUUAAGGAAUGGGCGACACUGCAGAAAAGAACAGCGUGUGUUUCCUGAGUGGAGCCUCACUGGCACGCAGCUCCCUCCUCUUCCUCAGCCUCUUCCUCCAGGACUUCUGAAUAGAAGGUUAUUCCCGCCCGUCCUCUUGAGAGACUGGGACUGUCACACUGUGCCAUUGCAUAAUGAGGGAAUGAUUGUGUGUUUGCAAGUGUGUGUAUUAGCGGGAAGCCAAUGUGGUGACAGAAGAAUCUGAGGAAAGGCCGCUCAGGAAAUCAGCUGGUGCAUAGUCAUUGUUAAGCAUCUGAACACAGUAAAAAGUGUUCCUUACACACACACAUGCACACGCACAUGAGGGGACAGUCUGUCAGUGACAGCCCGAGACGCCCGUCUAAACGGAAAGAAUAUAAUAGACAGAGGGAGCUGUUUAGACAAAGCAUCUGCGCACUGGCGACACACUCGCACACAAUGCGGAGGAAACAAAGCCACGCUUGCUUAAAGGAGUCACUGUGUCUGCCUUCAAGCUUUGGCCUUCAAGCUUAGAAACACACCUACACACACCCUGUGUCUCUGUAGGACACACACUGACGUACAGUUUUAUUAUCCAGUAUUGUCACAAUGCUUGCAUGUCUUUCACACACACACAUAGAGUUACACUGAUACAUCAUGCACAUCUAAAGAACAGCAGUCAUACCUCAUGCAUGCUCAUUUAGAUUUAUUAAUAUUAUUAAUAUCGAGAUCAAAGAGUAAUCAUGUAGGUUUUACUCAAGAGGCUCAACAGAUCAGUUUGCAAAUUACAAAUAAUGAUGACUCUGUGUGCUUGGGCACCUGCCCUGUUCCCAUAAUUCAUCAGAAAUGUAAUUAAAAGCAAUGAAUAUAAAUGAAUUUAGUUAUUUCUCUGCAUAUUCCUCAUCAGUCUGGUUUGACUGGAGAAAAAAGGGAAAAAAAACAUGGGGGUGUGCAGUUAUAGGAAAAUAAUCAGUGACAGUAUGGUGUGAUAUGGUGCAACGCAAAGUGGAGUUACUGUUACAGCCCAGAAGUUAAUUAUGUUCCAGUAACUGCACAUCCCAUAGCAGUUUUCCUCUUAUACCAACACCAGCAAUUAGUGUUUCUUAAAGAACGACACAUCACACAUGUUCCACAAAACAAGCUACAUGAUAGCAAGUAUAAACAGUCACUCUCUCAUCUCUAUUUUUUCUUUAUCUCCUUUAAAGCUAAUAAUACAAAAGAAUACAGCUUGUCAUGUGACAAAAAGAAAUCUUGCUUGAAGUUACAGCUUUAAUUCUGACUGUUUUAAAGCAUUGACACUGGAGACUCCUUCCAAAAAAAUGAUAAAUAAACUUAUCCUCACAGAAGACGUCAUCACUAUAUGGUAAGCAGUACAAGUACUGAAAUCUGGUCCAGUGAUUUAUCAGAUAUCUUGUGAGAAGAUAAUUCGAUUUUAACUUUAACUAAUGUUUCUCCAGUUUAGCUAGCUAGACUAACUAGGCGAGCAAACCUACUAUCAGUCUGUCAUGCUUUCUUAAACCAGAAUGUGAUGUUUUUUCCAAGAACCAUGUGUUAAAGAAUGUGUGAACUUUCAGCCACCGUGUUUGUAUUGAUCUGAAGUCACAGUUUUUCACAAGCAAUUCUGCAAGAUCCCAAGUUCUGAGAGUUGAAUCAUUGGAUUUUGGACCAUAAUGUGAAAGUGCGUGAUGUUUUAUUCUGGGCAAAUCUUCUAGCAAUCCACAAAACAAAAUCAGUGAAAUCUGAAGUCUCUAAUACCUAAUAUCUAACUGUUGGUUAGGAUCUUGUAGUGUGGCCCAGGAAUUAUACUGUAUUAUGUUCAUUUUUGUCCAUAUUCCUGGGUCUCUUGGGUUCUAGUCUUGAUUGUAUUUGUCAUUUGUCUAGGCAAUGCUAGAUAUGUCUGGACAUUAAAGUAAUUUUUCUGUUUCACUGCUUUAUGCAUUGGUAGGUUGGUAAAAUAUAAAAAAUCACUUGUUGAUACAUACGCUCGCAUUUAAAUUGAAGACAGCAUGGCUUAGUACAGCUGUAAAAUAAAUAGAGACUAGUGACAGUGACACACUGAGAAUUUAGGACAAGGCCAGGAACACUUCUGUGGAUAUUCCAUCUGUGUAUAUACUUUAGGGGGGCGUUGGUAUGGUGUGUUCAUGUCCUCCAAUUCAGAGAGAGCCCAGGCCCCUGGUGGGAGGAGACUGAAGUAUGGAGACACACAGAGGAAGGGUUGGAUCAUGAUCAUGGUGAAAUCAAAAGCAAUGUAACAUGGCUCGUGUCCAAUGUCGCAACGUGUCCUGUGUAUAUUUCAGACUUGGAUGUCCUUGAAAUGAACACGGUCAGCAACGGUGGAAAUGUAACAGCUAUAACGGGAAUAAUGAUGUUACAGCCCAGUGUGUUAUGUUAUAGGAUUAUUGACCUAUAUCAUUGUGGAUGUCAUUUUGUUUUGGAGUGUGCAAUGACACAAUAUUAUUUCCCGACUUUUUUAGACAGACAAUACAAACACACUUAGUCUGCAAAGCAUGGUCAUUACUCAGCUGAGUCAUUUUCCACACUGUUCUGCUGUGGGUAAUAAUGUAAUUAUAUUCACACUGUGAUUCACCGGUGGCUUGAUGUGUGUGUGUGUGUGUGUGUAGUUUUCUAUGGUGAAUUGUGUAGGUCUGUGGUGUGUGAUAUUCAUCUUCUUGCUCUCUAAAACGAGCUUCUCCUGCAGCAUGUUCAGAUUAAGAAUGAGAAAUAACCGAAGAACCUGGUCAUGGAGCAGAGCUGGAGGAAGCCUCAGGGUCCAUCAUUAAUUCGUUGGCGUUCUUUCCCAAUAUAGCAUGAUGCAAAGAAUUGCAGACUCUUGCAGACUGUCAGAGUUCACACAAGCAGUCAGUUACUGGAAGCAGAGAUAACACGCCCACAUGUCUGAGGACGACCUCCUGCUUUUUCAGCACAACGGAAAUGAGGAAAUGUAGUCUCUGCAUUGAUAAUGUACAGGCAGUGUGGGUGUGUGAGGCCAUCAGGGUUACAUAAGCAUAAUACAAUUUACCAGCAAGAACACCAAUGACACAAGUUGAUCUUAAGCUGGAUGUUAAGCCAGAGAUUCUUAAACCAUACAAUGUUAUUUUAGUAAUUAAUUUAAAAAUUAAAAUUCAGUUCUACUACAGAUACUUAAGGUCCAUUGUAAAUUAAUUUUCCACUGACGAUCACCAUCUGACUUCAACGGAAAACACUACAUCCAUGAUCUUGACACACAGUAAGGUAGCUAGCAUUCUUUUCUCUCAGUGUUACAGAUUUACUUUAAGUAAUGAAUUGUUGAAUUAGUCAUUUUUUAACAAAAUUAACAAAGUCAAGAGUCAAUCACAUGUGAGUCAAAGCUGAGACUGUAACCAAUGUAGCAUGAAACAAUGCUGAAAUUUUAAUCAGUCAGUUAUGACUCAAGGCCCCGACCUUAGAGACUUUAGCCAAUCAAGUGCGAGUCAAGAGAGAGACUUUAGCCAAUCAGUUGUGAGUAAAGACUGAAAGUUGAACCAAUGAAGUUUGAAUUGAGAGCGAGACUUCAACCAGUCGAGUGUGAGUCAUGACCAAGCCUUCAACUGUGACUUGAGAUGGGGACUUGAACCAAUCAAGUGUGAGUAAAGAGCAAAAGUUCAAACCAAUCAAAAAAUGUUAUUUAUAUAAUGCUCUUUAUUUAUUAUGGAGAUCAGCCAGAUGACCCCUUAAGUUCAAAAAUUAUUUGAGUACAGGGACAUUUACCCUAAAACCUGCACACACAAACACACACACACACACACACAUACUCAUGCAGACACAAAGUCAGUAUCACAACCCAUCUGUCCCGAUCAAGGUGAAUCCAACUUACAUAAGGUUUUAUAUCAGAAAGUGUGUGUGGAGGUGUGUGUGUGUGUUUAUUUAAUUGCUAUGACCCAGAAAGAACCCAGUGACCCAAUCAGGUCUCAGGUUAGUGUAACCAGGUUGAGCCAAAUUCUAUUCUUCCAAAUCACUGAACAUGCACAGUGCUAAUGCAAUACAAUGCAACACACAUUCACACAAUCUAGACAGGGUUUUCGUGCAGGUUUGUUUUUUUCUUCACAACCAGCGGAUGGGCUGGGUAGCGUUGUUUGGCACAAGACACACACACACAUGCACACACACAUAUCGGCCCUGCCCUCGGCUGCAGGAAGUUCCACUGGCUACGUGAUCUUCCACCGUAUACUUCCUGGGUCAGGCACAUGCAAAAAAUUGAAAGCUAUAGGGCAGGGCUCACGUUACGUUUCAUUCAUUUUCCAUUCUUGCUUUCAGUUUGUUUAAUCUGGACGGCGUGAGUUUAUUUCACAGGAGCCAGUGAUAAGUCUUUCCACCCUACAGAGCUCACAGAGGAGCCUUAGGCCACACUGCUGCUGACCUGCUGGCUCCUUCUCACACCAUAUUUACACACACAACCCUGCAUACAGUUUUCCAUGCACUUAUGAGGGUUUUAAACUCACAUGCCCUGUGUUCAAUGAAUUUAGGUCCAUGCAUGUUUCAUCAAUUCAUUUUUUGUUUCGAAAAAUAUAUACAGUGGGGUCCAAACAUCUGAGACCACAUUGAAAAUCUGGGACUUUAUUUUUUUCAUUUUUUUCAGGUUUUAGAAAUAUUUUUAAUUUAAUCUAAUUUAAUUAAUUUAAUUAAUUUAAUAUCUUUAAAAAUAUUUAAUAUUCAGGGUUCUGCACUAUUUCUAGGUCCCUAUUUAACAUCCCUAUUUUACUUAUUUCUAUGACCUUAAUAUUAACUGCAUUGUGCAACAGGUCAGAUUUUUCUCAUGGCUAAUCUCUUCUAUUGAAGCAUGUGUUCAGACAACACUCCAAUGGAUUUGAUCUAAAAUGGAUCAUAAGGCCAGCUUGUAAAUAAAAUGGAUCAUAAGGCCAGCUCGAGUGCACACUGUCAUUUAAGCAAAAAGGGGACAUACCAAAUAAUAAGAAACUCUGAAAUUCAUGUAAAUAUUUCAAAGUUUCUACUUUUCUCUCAAAUUGUUGUCAAUAAUAAAAUUUCUAAUGAAAAUUGUUGUAUUAAAUUAGAAAAGAAUGCAAAAUAGAAGCACUUUCACUAGUCCAGUCAGACUUCUGCACCCCGCUGUAUAUUGACCUGAGAUGCAUGUAUGGGUUCCACACACUGUCUGUAAAAUGGAUGUGGACAUCCAGAGUUUCUAAUGUUUAAUGUUUAGUCACACAGAAUGGCAACUGGAUAAAGAAAAGAUGUUUAACAAAGGCUAUAAAAAACUUUCGAAUCCUAACAGGACUCUAAUAGAACUAGAUUAUUAGAUUAUUUUCCAAUAUAAAGUAGUAAAUAAAAUAUAAAAUAGAGUCCUACACGAGUGUCUGAGGUUUAAAUAAAUAUUAUACAACACCCACAACGUUUGACUAUAAUACAAUCUAGCUAAUAAAAAAGAUAGCUAGAAAAAAAAAAGCAAAAGCUUAACCCUCAGAGGUCUAUGCCUUUUA